rnacentral:tRNA from 1 species
GCCGGGAUGCUGGAACUGGUAGACAGGCAUGUUUGAGGGACAUGUGCCAGAAAUGGCGUGGAGGUUCGAGUCCUCUUCUCGGCA